rnacentral:lncRNA from 10 species
UCUUGCCUGAGCUCUUUCUUAAAACCUCUGCUAAUGUUGAUCCUUUCCAUUCACAACUUCUCUUCUUAUUCGGCAUGUAUUCUUGGAUAGUGAACUCACUCUGGAUACAUGAGAUUGUUACUGAAGUAAUAAUAAUUACGAAUAGUUAUAGAGUACUUUGCAUCAGCCACUGUUCUAAGUACUUUCACAUGCAUUUAACUCAAUCAUCAUACACAGUGUAUAUUGCAACAAACAUUUUAUAAAUGAAAAAACUAAACAUCAGAGUGGUUAAACACCUUGCCCAUAGUGAAAAGGAGUAGACUUGGGAUUUUAACCCAGGAAGUUUAACUACAGAGCCUGUACUCCAGUGCAAGUUCUGGGUUGCGUAAAGAGACUUGGGGAUUCCAAUCUCUAUCCAUAAUUCAACCCAGGAAUCAUGGAAUUAUUUUUAGCUCUUUCUGUUCAUCACUCUCACAGCCCAUAAACUGUGGACUCUUGAUGAUUUCCUUGGCUUUGUGUCUUCAGUCUGUGUUCCCUAUUUCCACAGCCCUGUCACCACUGCCUGGAUCCAGGCCAUCACUGCAGACUACUGAAGUCAUCUCUUAAGCUGGUCUCCUUGCUUCCAGGUCCUCCUCCAACCCAUAGUCACUAGCAUGGUUAUCUUGUUUGGAUUGGUCCAUUAACUUAGCACAAUGCUUCUCAAACUUGCUGGACAUAGGAAUUUCCUGAUACAUUGCUAAAAUGCAGAUUCUGGUGGGUCUCAGUUGAAGUCAAAGUUCUGUUGCAUGUCAAGGAGCAAGGCUUUGAGAGCCACAGCAUUUGUUGAUCCAGGUGUUAGUUCAGAUCCCAUGCACAGGUAGCUCCAAGACCUGGCUCCAGGCUACCACUCCCACAGAUGGCUGCCUGGACAUAAAGCCCAUCCACUCCAAGAUAGGGAGCCAGCACUGCUACUGGUUGUCUUCCCAAAACACCAGUGAUUACUGGCAGGGUACUUUCAUUUGAGAAUAAAAACAAAACCAAGUAAAACAAAAAUCACACACACAAACACUGACUUCCUAAUGUGGUACUUUUCAUUCAGAGAGGGAAAAUAAACAUAAAAUAAAAUGAAAUCAUAAGCUUCAGAGAGUAGGAUCAUUUGCUUGCAAAUCAUUCAGAUGCAGUAGCAGCUAGUUUGCCCAGAGUUUAGAUUAAAAGUGUCAGGUUCCUUCAGGGGGAUUUUCCCAAGCGCGGAUGAAAAUCACACUCGGAUGCAGUCAUUCCUUUGGAAUGUAGCAAAUUUAGAUGACCCAGGUAGCUGUGGAGGCUGCUUUCCAAGGGCAUUUCCAGCUCUCUUUCCUUCUCUCUGAGAGCAAGAGUGAUGAAGUGCAUUCUUGCCUACUCAUCUGCCCUGUGACUUUUUUCAGGUUAACCAAGAUUACCUUCAAUCCAUCUUGUUCACUACAUUCCAUGUUGAAAUCAGUCAGAAUGGGCAGAAAUUAAAAGGUUCCCCUUUUACAGAUGAUAGAAUAGCCUGCUCUCCCUGGAAGGCACUAAUGGAACUUG